rnacentral:tRNA from 1 species
GGCUGUGACUCAGUGGUAGAGUGCUCGCCUAGCACGUGUGAGGCCCUGGGUUCGAUCCUCGGUACCA